AUGCAGUCGAGCGGAUGAGGGAGCUUGCUCCUGGAUUCAGCGGCGGACGGGUGAGUAAUGCCUAGGAAUCUGCCUGGUAGUGGGGGAUAACGUCCGGAAACGGGCGCUAAUACCGCAUACGUCCUGAGGGAGAAAGUGGGGGAUCUUCGGACCUCACGCUAUCAGAUGAGCCUAGGUCGGAUUAGCUAGUUGGUGGGGUAAAGGCCUACCAAGGCGACGAUCCGUAACUGGUCUGAGAGGAUGAUCAGUCACACUGGAACUGAGACACGGUCCAGACUCCUACGGGAGGCAGCAGUGGGGAAUAUUGGACAAUGGGCGAAAGCCUGAUCCAGCCAUGCCGCGUGUGUGAAGAAGGUCUUCGGAUUGUAAAGCACUUUAAGUUGGGAGGAAGGGCA
rnacentral:rRNA from 1 species